UACGAAGGGGGCUAGCGUUGUUCGGAAUUACUGGGCGUAAAGCGCACGUAGGCGGGUCGUUAAGUCAGGGGUGAAAUCCCAGAGCUCAACUCUGGAACUGCCUUUGAUACUGGCGACCUAGAGUUCGGAAGAGGUUAGUGGAAUUCCCAGUGUAGAGGUGAAAUUCGUAGAUAUUGGGAAGAACACCAGUGGCGAAGGCGGCUAACUGGUCCGAUACUGACGCUGAGGUGCGAAAGCGUGGGGAGCAAACAAG
rnacentral:rRNA from 1 species